rnacentral:ncRNA from 2 species
AUCAAUCUUCAGGGCAGGGUGAAAUUCCCGACCGGCGGUAUUGAAAUGUUAAUUUCUGAGCCCGCGAGCCUUUUUAGGCAUGAUUUGGUGAGAUUCCAAAGCCGACAGUACAGUCUGGAUGGGAGAAGAUGGAG